rnacentral:rRNA from 1 species
CCUACGGGAGGCAGCAGUAGGGAAUAUUGCUCAAUGGGGGAAACCCUGAAGCAGCAACGCCGCGUGGAGGAUGAAGGUCUUCGGAUUGUAAACUUCUUUUUUUAGAGAAGAUAAUGACGGUACCUAACGAAUAAGCACCGGCUAACUCCGUGCCAGCAGCCGCGGUAAUACGGAGGGUGCAAGCGUUAUCCGGAAUCACUGGGCGUAAAGAGCGCGUAGGCGGGAUAGCAAGUCAGAUGUGAAAUCCUAGGGCUUAACCAUAGAACUGCAUUUGAAACUGUUAUUCUAGAGUAUGGGAGAGGCAGGUGGAAUUCUUGGUGUAGGGGUGAAAUCCGUAGAGAUCAAGAGGAAUACUCAUUGCGAAGGCGGCCUGCUAGAACAUAACUGACGCUGAUGCGCGAAAGCGUGGGGAGCAAACAGGAUUAGAUACCCGGGUAGUC